rnacentral:rRNA from 1 species
UUUUUUAAUUGAAAACUUGUAUGAAAGGUUGAACGAGAUAUAAGCUGUUUCAGAAAAAUUUUAUUAAAACUUUACUUUUUAGUUAAAAGGCUAAAAUUUUAUUAAAAGACGAGAAGACCCUAUAGAGUUUUAUAGAAAAAAAAAUUAAAAAAUUAUAGAAAAAUUAAAUUUAAAUUAUUUUUACUAUUUUGUUGGGGUGACAGUAAAAUUUAUUAUACUUUUAUUUUUUAUAAACAUAAAUUAAUGAUUUAAUUGAUCCAAUAUUAUUGAUUAAAAAUUUAAAUUACCUUAGGGAUAACAGCGUAAUCUUUUUUUAGAGUUCUUAUCAAUAAAAAUUUUUGC